rnacentral:lncRNA from 1 species
GAGAAAUGCGGCUGAGAAGAGAAGUCAGAGUUGAGCUGGGGGAGGCUUCAGAGGCUCUGCAUGCCCAGGAGGCUUCUCUGAGACUGGGAAGGAGUGGAAACUCAGUAGCCCGUGGUCCUGGUUGCGCGCUCCCUCCCAUGUCUUCAUUAUCUGAUUUGGUAAAAUAUCUACAAGACGGGGGAGUCCGGGCUGCUUUCUUUGACACUGGUCAUCACUCCACACCUAGACGCUAUGUCCAUGUCUGGAAGAUGCUUUUAAGGAAGUUUUGAUGCAGAGAAGAGUGGCCGGUGCUCUUCCUCGCGUGCCACCAUCUGCUUACUUCCAGAAGCUAAUUAUUUUCAUGUGACUGAUGUGACUAAUAUUUUUUAACGCCUGCAGGUUCGUUAUGUACCAGCAAAUGUUCAUGGUACUGAAGAUAUACCAGUUGAAGAGAAAGAAUGUUCUUGUUGUCAUAGUACCUAUUUGCUACGAGGUCAAAUCUUGUUCCUGGAAGAAAUGUACAAAUAUUAAUACUUAAAACAGUAUUUUCCAUUAAGAAGAGAAUUUUAUUCUGAUGUAGGUAACAGAGGUUAUUGUUGGGAUUCUUAGAACUUCCAUCCUAGAUGCAUUUUAAAUUACAAGAUAACCAAACAUUCUGAGCUUGCAUCAUAUGAGAGGAGGGGAGUAGUAAUCUGAGAACGUCAGAGAGAUGUCUUUCAGCAGUCUAGAAGUCAUGCUUCAUUUGGUGAAAUGUUCCACGCUUACCAUGUAUGUUAGAGCCUGAGUUUACAGAAGGGAAUAGGCACAGUCCUUUAACUUCAGUCCCUUCACUUUGUGAUUUGGUGAAUAUUUAUGAAAGGACAGAUAUUAGAGAAUAAAAGAGGAACUUUGUAUA